rnacentral:tRNA from 1 species
GCCCGGAUGGCGGAACUGGUAGACGCACGGGACUUAAAAUCCCGCGAAGCAAUUCGUGUCGGUUCGAUCCCGACUCCGGGCACCA